AUCUUCUAGAGAACCUUGGAUAACUGAUUGGUGGUUUCAUGUGUUCUAAAUUAUAGGUUUCUAAAUUGGCAUGGCAGAAUUUAAGAUGAGUCAAGGUCCUUACAAGAAAAAGGACAAGGAUUUACAGUCAAUAAGAUUCCUUGUUUGUUAACCCAUUGGGCAUUGGCUGCUACCCUUGAAUCUCCCUGUUUGUCAACAAAAAAAAAGAGGUUCAACAUUGUGAUCAUGCUAUCAUAAUUGGAAGUUGUGCUUAUGUUGCCUAUAACAUCAAAUGUGGGGUAUCUGGUUAUCCCUCCAAAAUAAGGCAAUGACCACACGUUUAACGCGGAUCAUUCGUUUUGUCAUAGAACUUGACCCAUUCCAUCUUCUGGAUUGCUAUGAUUGGCAUUACCUGUGUAAUGACCGAGAAGAUGCGGCCUACAUGAACAUCAUUUAGGCGGCCAGCAUCAUUCGACUACCCAACCGACUUCUACUACCCUGCUCUCAACACAACACGGAGUUUAACCCUUUAGAUUUUUGGCUGUUCGCGAUGUGUGAUGGCGUUUCCUUGGACGAGAUGUUGAUUUUGGCGAAAAAAAUAUUGCGGACGAUUUUCAUGCUGUCAUUCACCGAUGCUAUUUUUGUGCGUGCCGGCCUUCCGUCGCCUCGAGGCAUGGGGGAGUUGUGCCUGUUCCAGCUACCCUGCCAGCAUAAUUCGACUUCCCAACCGACAGCCUGGUCAAAUUUCAAUUUCACUGACCCCUAUUACACCUGCACUCAACCCAGUUCUCACGGAGUUUUGAUCUUAAUGGCUGUAUCAUGGCCUCAGAUCGUUUUUCAGCUGUCAGAAGCACCAGCUUCAGUUACUUUUAUUUUGGACAUUUCUAAAGACAUUUAUCGGAGUUGCUGUUGAGAGAUCAGUCGAGUGAGCAUCUCCGACACGGCAACAACUGCAGCGCACUUUUUGUGCCUUCUGUACGAUAAGAUUUGCCUUAUCAGUUCGCAAUUAUGGGCGAGUGAGCAUCUCCGACACUUCAACAACUGCAUCCUUCGUCGUAUUACCAGUUCACAAUGAUGGUAAACUAUGCCGUCUUGCUGCACUGCUGCUAUUGGUUGUUGUAUUGCUGAUGGCUGGGUCGAUCAAGGGUGUAGCGAUGUCUCCUGGGUAUGGUGAAUAUUAAGAAACAGCAGCGAAAGAAUACUUUACCACGCCGCCUCCUUAUUAAACAACAACGUCAAUACCUACUUACUAUACGGAGGCCUUCAAGUACUACACUACCAAGGCUCCUGAGUUUAAACUGCAACCUACGCUGCUCCAUCUUAGGAAACAUGGUUUACUUGGUCGUGCUGCUGUUGGGUGUUAUAUCAUUGAUGGCUGGGUCGACCACUGGUGUGCCGAUGUCUCCUGGUUAUAGUGAGUACCAAACAGCAACGCCUUUAAUACACAGUGAAGUCAACAUACGCAACAUCUGUUACUACACCGAGGCCCCCAAGUACACCACCGAGUUGUCUGCCCCAGCCUACUUCACCGACCCGUUUAAGUACGACUCUGCUCCAAGCUACUACCAAACUGAGGCUCCUGUUUACUACACCAAGGUCACCGAGUAUUACACUACAACCAUUUUAUUUAUGAAAAUUAAUGUUCAAAUUAUUUCGCGUCUAGCUAACUAUCUUGCUGCUGUUCGUUUUGGUAUCCUUGAUGGUUGGGUCGACUACUGGUGUACCGAUGUCUCGUAGGUUUGGUAGAUACCAAACCACAACGCCGGCGUCUUACCACACAACAACCACGAAGGCAGCGGAGUCCUACACCACCAAGGCAGCGGAGUCCUACACCACCAAGGCAGCGGAGUCCUACACCAACAAAUCCAAUCCAAACUCCAACAAAUCUUAUUGGUAAAAGGCAAUUGGCUGAUCUUUGUGUAAAUGAUAGACUUUGAAGUUGAGAGAAAUAUAUUGAUACAAUUCCUAAA